rnacentral:rRNA from 1 species
GACAGAGGGUGCAAACGUUGCUCGGAAUCACUGGGCGAAAGGGCGUGUAGGCGGGACAGUAAGUCGGGCGUGAAAUCCCUGGGCUCAACCCAGGAACUGCCUUCGAUACUGGGUAUCUUGAGUUCGGAAGAGGUGAGUGGAAUUGCGAGUGUAGAGGUGAAAUUCGUAGAUAUUGGGAAGAACACCGGUGGCGAAGGCGGCGACCUGGUCCAUUACUGACGCUGAGGCGCGACAGCGUGGGGAGCAAACAGG